CCUAGUAACUGCGAGUGAAGCGGGAUGAGCUCAAAUUUAAAAUCUGGCGUCUUCGGCGUCCGAGUUGUAAUUUAGAGAAGCGUUUUCCGCGCCGGACCGUGUACAAGUCUCCUGGAACGGAGCGUCAUAGAGGGUGAGAAUCCCGUCUUUGACACGGACCCCCGGUGCUCUGUGAUACGCUCUCGAAGAGUCGAGUUGUUUGGGAAUGCAGCUCAAAAUGGGUGGUGAACUCCAUCUAAAGCUAAAUAUUGGCGAGAGACCGAUAGCGAACAAGUACCGUGAGGGAAAGAUGAAAAGCACUUUGGAAAGAGAGUGAAACAGUACGUGAAAUUGUUGAAAGGGAAACGCUUGAAGUCAGUCGCGUCCGCCAGGAUUCAGCCUCACGGUGUACUUUCUGGUGGACGGGCCAGCAUCACUUUCAAUCAUCGGACAAGGUCGAGAGGAAUGUGGCACCUUCGGGUGUGUUAUAGCCUCUUGUCGUAUACGGUGACUGGGAGUGAGGACCGCCUUUGUAGGAUGCUGGCGUAAUGGCUUUAAACGACCCGUCUUGAAACACGGACCAAGGAGUCUAACAUGCCCGCGAGUGUUCGGGUGGAAAACCCGUGCGCGUAAUGAAAGUGAAAGUUGGGAAGGCUGUCGCGGCCUGCACCGACGCCCGGACUUGAGAUUUAUCGAAGGUUCUGCGGUAGAGCGUGUAUGUUGGGACCCGAAAGAUGGUGAACUAUGCCUGAAUAGGGUGAAGCCAGAGGAAACUCUGGUGGAGGCUCGUAGCGAUUCUGACGUGCAAAUCGAUCGUCAAAUUUGGGUAUAGGGGCGAAAGACUAAUCGAACCAU
rnacentral:rRNA from 1 species